rnacentral:rRNA from 1 species
GACGAACGCUGGCGGCGUGCCUAAUACAUGCAAGUAGAACGCUGAAGGAGGAGCUUGCUUCUCUGGAUGAGUUGCGAACGGGGGAGUAACGCGUAGGUAACCUGCCUGGUAGCGGGGGAUAACUAUUGGAAACGAUAGCUAAUACCGCAUAAUAGUAGAUGUUGCAUGACAUUUACUUAAAAGGUGCAAUUGCAUCACUACCAGAUGGACCUGCGUUGUAUGAGCUAGUUGGUGGGGUAACGGCUCACCAAGGCGACGAUACGUAGCCGACCUGCGAGGGGGCUCGGCCACACUGGGACUGGGACACGGCCCAGACCCCUGCGGGAGGCAGCCGUAGGGAAUCUUCGGCAAUGGACGAAAGUCUGACCGAGCAACGCCGCGUGAGUGAAGAAGGUUUUCGGGUCGUAAAGCUCUGUUGUAAGAGAAGGACGAGUGUGAGAGUGGAAAGUUCACACAGUGACGGUAUCUUAACAGAAAGGGACGGCUAACUACGUG